rnacentral:pre_miRNA from 2 species
AAUAAAUGACGUCGUUGACUUUUUCUCACAUGUUUGACCAUUUGUCUCAUUCAAAAAAUUUAUGUAAUUAUAAUUUAUUUUUUUAGGAGUUGUUUUAUUACUUAUAGUACUUUAAGUGUGAUUUAUAUAUUAUACAUUUGCAUAAAAUUUUUGAAUAAGACGAAUGGUCAAACAUGUGAGAAAAAGUCAAUGGUAUCAUCUAUU